rnacentral:rRNA from 1 species
GAUGAACGCUGGCGGCGUGCUUAACACAUGCCAGUCGAACGGUGAAGGCGGAGCUUGCUCUGCUGGAUCAGUGGCGAACGGGUGAGUAACACGUGAGCAAUCUGCCCCUGACUCUGGGAUAAGCCCUGGAAACGGCGUCUAAUACUGGAUACGAGCUGCUAAGGCAUCUUCAGCAGCUGGAAAGAAUUUCGGUCCGGGAUGAGCUCGCGGCCUAUCAGCUUGUUGGUGAGGUAAUGGCUCACCAAGGCGUCGACGGGUAGCCGGCCUGAGAGGGUGACCGGCCACACUGGGACUGAGAAACGGCCCAGACUCCUACGGGAGGCAGCAGUGGGGAAUAUUGCACAAUGGGCGGAAGCCUGAUGCAGCAACGCCGCGUGAGGGACGACGGCCCUCGGGUUGUAAACCUCUUUUAGCAGGGAAGAAGAGAAAGUGACGGUACCUGCAGAAAAAGCGCCGGCUAACUACGUG